ensembl:lncRNA
CCUGGGGGGGAGAGACACACACCUGGGACACACCUGGGCACACCUGGGAGGGGUUUAAAGGGGAUUUGAGUCACACCUGGGCACACCUGGGGGCACCUGGGCACACCUGGGAGGCACAGACACACCUGGGAUACACCUGGGUACACAUGGGGCAUAUCUGGGGCACACCGGGCACACCUGGGGCACACCUGGGGCACACCUGGGGCACACCUGGGCACACCUGGGGGGGAGAGAGACACACCUGAGACACACCUGGGGGCACCUGGGGGGGAUUGGGAUACAGCUGGGUCACACCUGGGGCACCUGGGAUUCACCUGGGAGCACCUGGGGGGGACAGACACACCUGGGGGGAAAGAGUUUUUAUUGAAUUAUUUCAGAUAGUAAACAUGGGGAGGCCAAUCCUCCCUCUCCCCAGGUCUGUAAGAACCACAAAUAAGUGAUUUUUUGUGUGAAUCUGGCUUCCUGCUCCCCCCAAACAGGGAAAUACCUGCACAGAGAGGCUGGGAGAGAGACACACCUGAGACACACCUGGGGAUACCUGGGGGGGAUUGGGAUACAGCUGGGUCACACCUGGGGCACCUGGGAUUCACCUGGGAGCACCUGGGGGGGACAGACACACCUGGGGGGGAGAGAGACACACCUGAGACACACCUGGCAAACGCCUCCAAAAAUCCCCAAAUUUGCCUCCAGGUGACCCCAAAAUGUCCCAAAUUUGGGGUUUCUGAGUGUCCAAGGGGACCCAAAUUUGGGAUCCAGGUGUCCAGGUGACCCCAAAAGUCCCAAAUUUGGGAUCCAGGUGAUCCCAAAAACCCAAAAUUUGAGAUCCAGGUGUCCAAGCGACCCCAAAAAUCCCAAAUUUCUGCUCCAGGUGACCCCAAAAAUCCCAAAUUUGGGGCUCCUGGGUAUCCAGGCGACCCCAGACCCCAAAAUUCCCGCUCCAGGUGACCCCAAAACCCCCAAAUUUUGCCUCCAGAUGCCCCUGAAUGCCCCACAAUUCCCGGGAUUUUUCCCAAAUUUUUCCCCAAAUUCCGCGUUCUGGGGGCUGCUGGCGGGUUUGGGGCCGAUCCCCAAAUUUGGGAUCCAGGUGUCCAGGUGACCCCAAAAACCCCAAAUUUGGUCUCCAAGUGACCCCAAAAAUCCCAAAUUUGGGGUUCCUGAGUAUCCAGGUGACCCCGAAACCCCCAAAUUUGGCCUCCAGGUCACCCCAAAAACCCAAAAUUGGGGAUCCAGGUGUCCAAGUGACCCCAAAAAUCCCAAAUUUCUGCUCCAGGUGACCCCAAAAAACCCAAAUUUCUGCUCCAGGUGGCCCCAAAAAUCCCAAAUUUGGGAUUUCUUAGUAUCCAAGGGGACCCAAAUUUGAGAUCCAGGUGUCCAAGUGACCCCAAAAAUCCCAAAUUUCUGCUCCAGGUGACCCCAAAAAACCCAAAUUUCUGCUCCAGGUGGCCCCAAAAAUCCCAAAUUUGGGAUUUCUUAGUAUCCAAGGGG